GAUGAACGCUAGCUACAGGCUUAACACAUGCAAGUCGAGGGGCAGCAUGAAAGGAACUUCGGUUCUUUUUGAUGGCGACCGGCGCACGGGUGCGUAACGCGUAUCGAACCUGCCUCAUACUCGGGGAUAGCCUUGCGAAAGUAAGAUUAAUACCCGGCGGUCUCGGAUGGCCGCAUGACUGUCCGAGUGAAGAUUUAUCGGUAUGAGAUGGCGAUGCGUCCCAUUAGCUUGUUGGUGAGGUAACGGCUCACCAAGGCAUCGAUGGGUAGGGGUUCUGAGAGGAUGAUCAGCCACACCGGGACUGAGACACGGCCCGG
rnacentral:rRNA from 1 species